rfam:Candidatus Kaiserbacteria bacterium RIFCSPLOWO2_01_FTLL_51_21 rifcsplowo2_01_scaffold_28220, whole genome shotgun sequence.
GCGGGUAUGGUUUAGUGGCAGAAUGGUUGCUUCCCAAGCAACAGACCCGGGUUCGAUUCCCGGUACCCGCA